AUUAUUGUUAUUGCACUGCAAUGGGAUGGAGUCAGAAGACCCUCGAGGGAUAAUGCAGGCUCUCCAAUCCAACUCCUAUUCCGACACGUCCUCGUCGUGCAGAGUGGUUACAUGUGCCAUCACAUAUCCAAGCUUGAGUACACGGGCUUGAGCUAACCCCUUGGGCGGAUGGUGGCACAAGGCGAACCAGCAGGGG
rfam:Anopheles gambiae M scf_1925491233 genomic scaffold, whole genome shotgun sequence.